UACGAAGGGUGCAAGCGUUACUCGGAAUUACUGGGCGUAAAGCGUGCGUAGGCGGUUCGUUAAGUCCGUUGUGAAAGCCCUGGGCUCAACCUGGGAAUGGCAGUGGAUACUGGCGAGCUAGAGUGUGAUAGAGGAUGGUGGAAUUCCCGGUGUAGCGGUGAAAUGCGUAGAGAUCGGGAGGAAUACCAGCAGCGAAGGCGGCAAACUGGAUAGGCACUGACACUCAACUGCGAAAGCGUGGGGAGCAAACAGG
rnacentral:rRNA from 1 species